UCACCUCCGCAGGCGGCCGGCACCAGGCUGGGCUGGGCGAGCUCCUCUUGGAAAGGCUCACCCUCAAGCAGGACUAGGAGC
rnacentral:pre_miRNA from 1 species